rnacentral:rRNA from 1 species
AUUGUACGCUGGCGGCAUGCCUAACACAUGCAAGUCGAACGGCAGCGCGGUGGUGGUAACACUACUGGCGGCGAGUGGCGGACGGGUGAGGAAUACAUCGGAAUCUACUCUGUCGUGGGGGAUAACGUAGGGAAACUUACGCUAAUACCGCAUACGACCUACGGGUGAAAGCAGGGGAUCUUCGGACCUUGCGCGAUUGAAUGAGCCGAUGUCGGAUUAGCUAGUUGGCGGGGUAAAGGCCCACCAAGGCGACGAUCCGUAGCUGGUCUGAGAGGAUGAUCAGCCACACUGGAACUGAGACACGGUCCAGACUCCUACGGGAGGCAGCAGUGGGGAAUAUUGGACAAUGGGCGCAAGCCUGAUUCAGCCAUACCGCGUGGGUGAAGAAGGCCUUCGGGUUGUAAAGCCCUUUUGUUGGGAAAGAAAUCCAGCUGGCUAAUACCCGGUUGGGAUGACGGUACCCAAAGAAUAAGCACCGGCUAACUUCGUGCCAGCCGCCGCAGUAA